AACGCGAAGAACCUUACCAGCCCUUGACAUGUCCCGUAUGAGCACCAGAGAUGGAACUCUUCAGUUCGGCUGGCGGGAACACAGGUGCUGCAUGGCUGUCGUCAGCUCGUGUCGUGAGAUGUUGGGUUAAGUCCCGCAACGAGCGCAACCCUCGCCCUUAGUUGCCAUCAUUUAGUUGGGCACUCUAAGGGGACUGCCGGUGAUAAGCCGCGAGGAAGGUGGGGAUGACGUCAAGUCCUCAUGGCCCUUACGGGCUGGGCUACACACGUGCUACAAUGGCGGUGACAGUGGGAUGCAAUGGAGUAAUCCUGCGCAAAUCUCAAAAAGCCGUCUCAGUUCGGAUUGUGCUCUGCAACUCGAGCACAUGAAGUUGGAAUCGCUAGUAAUCGCAGAUCAGCACGCUGCGGUGAAUACGUUCCCGGGCCUUGUA
rnacentral:rRNA from 1 species